CAAAUUGUGCAAUGAAGUGUUUUUUAUUGAAAGCAUCGAGAGUUAGCAGAGUUGGUCAUUUCUAACAAUGCACUCGUCACUUUUAACACUGCUGAAUUAAAGCUUGAAAAAGACAAAUCAGUUCAAACUUGACACGUUUCAGUGAUUCGUUGAUAUACCUUGAGGAGGUUGUCAUUGCUGUGCAGCCAGUAGCUCCCUUUAUACAUCUGACUGUAAACUCUACCCAUAGAAAACUGAACUGUAACUUUCUCAGUGAGGUGGAUAAGUCCACUAAUUAUGUUAUUUAUACUCGACCUGCAGGUUGGGACUUAUUAGGUGAGUCGACAUGAAUAUUUCACCUUUCACCAACAGAACUAGUCACCGCAGAGGUCGCUCACUUUCCUUUUCACACUGACAGGUGAAAGAGAAAAAGUCCAGACGGUGUGCAUCGGGAAGGAAUUUAGUCUGCCAGUGGACUCCACCUCGAGGAUUGUGACUUUCACGCCAAGCCCCGAUGGGCCGAGACGUGUCCUGCUGGAUAAGACCACUGUGAAGGAUCCACGGUUCAAGUGGACCAGAGAUAAAACGUUGGUCCUGAAAGAAGUGACUCACAGCGAUCAGGGGCUUUAUGUCAGUGGCAGUAAAGGCCUCAGCAAAGCAUCACAAAUGAGGACACUCACUGGAGCAAUGACUGCUUGAAGUCACAUUUCCUCCAGUUUGAAUGUGGAGAAACUUACUGUGAUGGCAGACAGAGUGGAGCUCAGUGUUAUGGAGCUUUGGGAGGAACUGUGGUCAUCAGACUGAUGGACAACGCCUUAGAAAUAUUUAGAUGUGAAAUGAAAAGGGGAUCAUCAGUAAUAUUUAGAUGGAGAAACAAAACGAUUGUAACUAAUGUGAUGAAAGACAGAUCUGUCUUUAAUCUCAGUGAUGGAACAUUUAGGAUCAAUGACCUGAGCAGGAAUGACAGUGGUCAAUAUGAUCUGAGAAGCCUUGACUCAAAUGGAAAAGAAUUACAAGAACAGACUCUACAGUUGUUUAUUGAAGGUAAAAUACUUUUUUUCUACUCCUGAGAAAUUAAGGCAUAUUGACAGAUCUACAUCUCAAAUUGUAUUGAUUUGUGUGCAAACAAAGAUAUCGUACAUUCACUUACCAGUUUUUAGGUUCACUAGUGAAAACAAAUAUAACA